AACAGUAAUAUCAACAGCCGCAAAGAUGACACCGCAUAUCACAUCCCUCUCUGAUUCCGACACAUUCAUGGGUAAUUUUUAUCCACAUCUCCCUUUGAUUUUUUUGAUUUUUUUUAUAUGCUUAGAUUUGGGGGAAAAAAAUGGAUGAAAAUUAUCUAAUGCAUGUGUGCUUCUGCGGCAGGAGCUGCAGAAUGCUGAUUCGACAUAGAAAAGAACGGUAGAUGUCUGGAGUUUAUCUGAAAAGGAAAGGUAUAGAACAUAGAUGCUUAACUCUUAUUUGCGCAUCAUGCAUGAUAAUGUUCUCCACAUGCUCAUAAAUCUCUAUCUAUGUGCGUGCCUGUACCCACUGAUGUAUAUUUGAGCCCAAAAGUGUGGAUAACAGAAACUGUAUCCUGCCUUGAUGAAUCGUGUUCUCUGUGCUACUUAGAUCCCUCAACUCUGUUUUUGCACUCCGCAUUGCCUAAUCUCAUGAAUGUAGAGGAAUUGAUGAUGAAUGUGCUGGGGGAAUAAAUGUUGAUUGCAUCCCCUUAGUUGGGAUUAGGCCGAAUCAGUUCCGAAUGCAACCUGCAAUAAAAAAACUAAUUAGAUAAGUAAAGAAAAAUAACAAGAAUUAAAAAUUGCAAUUUUUUUUUCUUUCUGAUUUUUGUAAUUAGGAAUAAAAACAGGAAAAUAAAUUAAACGAAAUAAAAAGAAAAGAGUUAGAAAAAUUGGGUUGCCUUCCAAUUAGCACUUUAGUUAAUGUCUAUAGCUAGACGUAGAGGAAUGAAUUGAUGAUCACGUCACUUGUUCCCUUCGAGUUAACCACUCUUUAAUAACGUCAUAGAGCACUGUGCUUCCAAAUUUAAUGGUUGAAUUCUUCUUAUACGCCUUUCUUUUUGAAUGAAUCUUUGUAAAGAUAUAGGUUCCUUUCCAGCUAUGUUUAUUUCUCCAUCGAGCUGACUUAAAUCGUGUAUUUAACACCCAUAGUUUCCGCAUUGGCUGAAAUUUUCUACGAGGAACUUGGCUGUCAAUAAGCUUCCUCUUUUCCAUAUAGAUCUUUGCAUGUUUGCAGGACUCGUCUGGCAUUUCUUUGAAUUUGAUGGGCUUUGCAGGUGCACUGUCCGUUACCACCGCUAAAAUUUUCUGAUCAGUAAGCAGCUGUCCUGUAAUUAGAUUUGUCAGAGUAUUUAUGCAUUCUUGCUGCUUAGCGGGUUGCCUUGGAGUCUCGAGAGAGUGCAUGAAUG
rnacentral:lncRNA from 1 species